CUUUCUCCUCUACUGUCUAGGACUGAUCUGGUGACCACCUCAUCUUUAUGCAAAAUGGUCUGGGCCAACUGCUGGAGGAGCAGAGGAGCAUCCCGAGGUGCCGGCCCGCCGGCCCCAGGCCCCAGCAGCCACCUUGGGCCAUGAGUAGAAGCAAUUCCAUUGAAGACAGCUGACUGAAAAACAAAAGGUCCGGUUUCACAAUGAUCAAGUUGCCAGAUGGAUAUGGUAGCCCACAGCUGUAAUCCCAGCACUUGGAAGCUGUGGCAAGAGAUCACAAAUUCAAGCCCAACUCGGACUAUAUAAUAAAGACCCUAUUUCAACCCAUCCACACACAAAAAUAAAUUGUAUGCCCAUGCUAACUUGAGAGAAAA
rnacentral:lncRNA from 1 species